AAAACAUCACAGACAGACCUCUAAUGGGUUCAUAUGCCUAGAAGCAGAGUCACCUAGCAGGGCUAAGUUGAUUAAGAACAGGCUGGCUUGACCUUUAUUUUGCUUUGUUUAGUACUAGGAACAAAGCAAGCUGAAACAGUUUGUGCAUUAAGUUUGAAAAGCCCUGAGCAAUAAAAGUAAGGCCUACUUAGACAAUACUGAGAGCUUGCACUGAAGUGCGCUGGCUCAAGAUCUGAUCCUAGAAGCAGAUGAACUAAGACAACCAGGAUUGGGGCUUGACAUCUUUUUCUCAAAACCCCACUGAAAUUUCAUCAUUUUCUUUGGGCACUCUGCAUUGUAAAGAAGAAUGAUGCGAUCUUUUCUCUAUGCAGAUUGUGGCACUACCUUUUUCUUCUAAACUUUGAUAUGCCAAAAAGCAAGAUUACAACAAAUUUGGUUUAAAGAUCUAACUGGUUUUUAUUUGCAAUUCUAGAAUUGAGUAACAUCUCAAUCUAUAAAACAGAAUAGGUAUUCUAAUGUAGGUAAUCUCAGAAGACGUUGAUUUUAUAGAAAAAGACUGAAGAACGCAGAGAUAAGGACUGAAAAAUAGAUUUGGUCAUUUCAAAGUUACUUUCCUUAUAGAGUUAAAACAAAGGGAACUUUCUUAUCAUGACGGCUCAGGUAAACUGGGUCCUUCUGAUUGGUUAUUGUGACUCUCCUGAUUUUCUGGAAUUCUGGCCCAUUUCAGAGUUCACUUUAAGUAGCAACUAGCAGUAAGAAUUCAAUUCUUGUGUGUCCUUUGUA